CGCUUUUGUGGGGUGCUCGAGUGGCGAACGGGUGAGUAACACGUGAGUAACCUGCCCUUGACUUUGGGAUAAGCUUGGGAAACUGGGUCUAAUACCGGAUAGGAGCCAUCUUUAGUGUGGUGGUUGGAAAGUUUUUCGGUGUAGGAUGAGCUCGCGGCCUAUCAGCUUGUUGGUGGGGUAAUGGCCUACCAAGGCGGCGACGGGUAGCCGGCCCGAGAGGGUGUACGGCCACAUUGGGACUGAGAUACGGCCCAG
rnacentral:rRNA from 1 species